rnacentral:precursor_RNA from 1 species
GCUGAAGGAAGAUUGCUCCACUGUUGACUGCAUUAGGAUUCAAUCCUUGCUGCUAAAUGUAUUGCUUAUAUUCAGCAAUAUAAUGUUCAGCAGCAAGAACUGGAUCUUAAUAUAGUCGAUAGUGGAAGAACGGUAACAUAUGUGGUUUGCAGCAGGUGAGCAGGAUGGGUGUGGAUGAUUGAAUAUCUCUGUUCAGUGUUUUCAUCAUCUGACUGAACACUGAAUCAGCUUGCUGACGUUAGAGGUUUCAGUUUACCUAAUUUAUGGUCUGUACCCAUGAAAAGUGGGAAAAGGCUGAAGAAUUCGAUUUCUUUCUUUCUUUCAAUGUUGAGCACAGCUACACAGGCAUCCAACCCAACAUCAUGUUGUUCAACAUGAUAUUUGUCUGCCUAUGCAAGAAGACCAGGGCUUUGGAAGCCUAAAAAGUCUUCGACCAGAUAGGAUCUUAGGGUAUGAAACCCGACGCGUUCUCGUGUGCUGCAUAUUGUUUAGCUUGUAAGAUAGAUGAAGUAACCUGACCUAUAAUCAGUUAAAUGCCCUACAAUCUUGAAUUAUUGAUUUAUUUAUGGCUUCAGCUUUCAGUAACAGGGCUUUUAUUACUGUAAC